AAAGGGAUACUUCUUCGGACAUAUACAAGGUGCUGCAUGGUUGCGUCAGCUCGUGCCGUGAGGUGUCGGGUUAAGUCCCAUAACGAGCGCAACCCCUACUGCUAGUUGCCAGCGGGUCAUGCCGGGGACUCUAGCGGAACUGCCAGCGUAAGCUGCGAGGAAGGUGGGGAUGACGUCAAAUCAGCACGGCCCUUACGUCCAGGGCUACACACGUGUUACAAUGGCCGGUACAGAGGGCAGCCACCCCGCGAGGGGCGCGAAUCCCGAAAGCCGGUCCCAGUUCGGAUCGGAGUCUGCAACCCGACUCCGUGAAGCUGGAUUCGCUAGUAAUCGCGCCAUCAGCCACGGCGCGGUGAAUACGUUCCCGGGCCUU
rnacentral:rRNA from 1 species